rnacentral:rRNA from 1 species
AACGAACGCUGGCGGCAGGCUUAACACAUGCAAGUCGAGCGCCCCGCAAGGGGAGCGGCAGACGGGUGAGUAACGCGUGGGAAUCUACCCAUCUCUACGGAAUAACGCAUGGAAACGUGUGCUAAUACCGUAUACGUCCUUCGGGAGAAAGAUUUAUCGGAGAUGGAUGAGCCCGCGUUGGAUUAGCUAGUUGGUGGGGUAAAGGCCUACCAAGGCGACGAUCCAUAGCUGGUCUGAGAGGAUGAUCAGCCACACUGGGACUGAGACACGGCCCAGACUCCUACGGGAGGCAGAAGUGGGGAAUAUUGGACAAUGGGCGCAAGCCUGAGCCAGCCAUGCCGCGUGAGUGAUGAAGGCCCUAGGGUUGUAAAGCUCUUUCACCGGUGAAGAUAAUGACGGUAACCGGAGAUGAAGCCCCGGCUAACUUCGUGCCAGCAGCCGCCGUAACAC